rnacentral:lncRNA from 1 species
UUUAGAUUGGCAAUUCCUCUCCUCCAUUAGAAUCCCGACUACUCGUCCUCUCCGAUUUUAUCAAUUUCUCAUUUUUCUCUGAUGUUCAAAUUUUAAGGGCGCCGUCGCGACCCCGACUGCGACUUCGACUCAUAGCGCCGCCCCUCCUCCAACACCUAUUGUAGCAGCAACCACAACGGAGAAAAGAAAAAGGGGAUGACCUAGAAAGAAUAGGAAAAUCGUUGCGCCCGAAUUAUUAUGUAUUACUAUCUAUCUAUAUCUGUUUAUUUCAAUGAAGUUAUUAAUGAUAUACAGGUUUAGAGGAACAUAGACUUGGUUUAUGAAGGUGGAAGCAUAGGAUUGAUGGUUUGAUUUUUCUCAAGCUGUGUAUAAUGGUGGCUACCACGUGUUGGGGUAAAUCAAAUUUUGGGAUAGUAGUUCUUUUGGCUUUUACCUAUAAUUCUUUAAUCUUUAAUUUUCUAUCUCUGUUGUUGGAUAUUUACUGAUUUUUUUUUUAAUUACUCUUUGAAUUUUUGGCAAACGGGUGGUGGGGUAGUAUAUGUGUGUAGCACAUUGAGCA